GGCAUUCCCUGGGGCGGCGGGGUUGGCUCUAACGAAUUUGAAUGAGGAGCCUCAGCGCUUUCGGCGCCAUUUUCGAGUGAUGCCUGAUCUCAUCAAUCUAGCGGGAGAGACAGGAUAACCUGUCCGAGAGUAUAGCGCCACUAUGACUCCGCCGGAAAAAUUACUUUAAAAAUCGCCAAAAAUUACUUGGAGCAAAGGGCAGUCGGCGGAGCUUCGCCAAGGCUGGCGCAGUCGGUUUUGACCUGUAGCAGAGAACCAAUUCUGGAGAACAGCCUCACUUCUUUGAUUGAAUACUUACAUAAUGCAUUGGAACAUGACAUGAGAUUAAGGUUUAAUAAUGAUAGAAUGAAGACCACAAUAAAAGAGACCUCUACUUAGCUCAGCAAUUCUUACCUUUCUUACCUAUUUGAUGAAGAUGUCUUUUGAAAGGUGUACUGCAAGGAACAAAAUGUUUGUAAAUUCUCCUUUUACCAAGGUGGAUAAUUACUGUACCUUCCUCAUGGAAAAAGUUUUAUUUAAAGUGUUAUUUCUCAUUGAAUACUAUCAAAAAGGAAAAAAAAAUGACCUAAACUUUUGAGAUAGAUUUGGCUCUAGUAAGUAUUUAGUUAUAUCACUUGCAUAUCUGGGAGAAGAAAUAAGAGACUAUCAUCAGUACAUUCCCAUCUACUAAAAAAAUUUAUUUUACACAUGUCAAGGGAUUACUUAUAACUUCCAUUUUAUUACUAAUAGCUUGAACCCUUUUAAUGAAGACCUAACUCCUCCACCAGAAAUUUAAGUUUAUGUUCUUACUUUGUUUACUUAUAAAAUACAUCUCAGGUAUUUCGGAUGUCUUUUUUUUUUCUAAGCCUAUAUGAAAUGAAAAAUAUAUUGGCAAAAUAAAUGUUUAAACCUUUUACGUUAAAAUUACUUUGAAAGAUGAAAAGUUAGUGCUGUUUUUGUCUACGUUAUACUGAAAUUAAAUGUUUAUAAUUUAUAUUUUGGGUUUAUGUAUAAAUCAUGGAAUUUAUGCAAAAAUAUGAGUAGUACAGAUUCUCCUCUAAUUCUGUAGGACUUUGAAUAAUGUGAUAUUUUUCUUAUAAUUGGACCCUUGUGUUUUGAAGAAAUGCCAACUGCUUGAAGAAUCUCCUUGUUAUUUGUAUUAUUUGCUAUAGGGUUAGAUGUUGAGAAAUUCUGCUGACAAAAAAUUUUAAGCCAGUUUUACACUAAAUGUUCCUCAGUCUGAUUAAUUUGUUAUUGGAUGUAUUCUGUAUCUUUCUUUUGUAAUUUGUAACUUUUAUCCACUUAGCACGAAUGAUUCUAUUAAAGAAAAUCAUUAGGAAGUGGUAGAAACUUUAAAUCGCCCCAGAGUUUGCCUGUUUCCAUAUUUUAUUAUCUUAUAAUCUUCGGGAGUGCUUACACUUAUGGAGCUAACAUUUUCAGAGAUACAGCUUCUUAUAGUAACACUAAAACUUUCUUCCUCUUUGGACUGAAUACCUAUAAUUAUAACUAUAUGGUAGUUUAAGUUUCCUUGUGAUUAGUCAAAAAUACCAUUUUAGUAUGAAGCAAUGAAGUCUAUUAUUUGUUGUCCCAUAAUUGAGAAAGCUUAAAUACACCUUUUAUUAAGAGUUUGUAAAUUCUAGCUUAGUCUACACAGAUUUUUAUAUCAAUUUGUUUAUAUUUUUAUUAAUGUCAUUUCUGGAAGUGUGAAAAUGUUAAUGUUCAACAAGCAACAUUAAAAAUAGAUUUGAAACAUUUAUAUAUAGAGAGGUACACAUUUAUUUACUGUUUAGGUACUGAAGAUUAUCACUUAAUAAAAAAUAUAUAUCCCAG
rnacentral:lncRNA from 1 species